AUUGAACGCUGGCGGCAUGGCUAAAGCAUGCAAGUUGCACGAGAACCACUUCGGUGGGGACAGUGGCGGAAGGGCGAGGAAUACGAUCGAACGUACCCCAAGGUGGAGGAUAGCGUCGGGAAACUGACGGUAAUACUUCAUGUGCUCGUAAGAGGAAAGCUCCGGCGCCUCGGGAGCGGCGAUCGUCCUAUCAGGUAGUUGGUGAGGUAAAGGCUCACCAAGCCGAAGACGGGUAGCGGGUGUGAGAGCAUGACCCGCCGCAUCGGGACUGAGACACUGCCCGG
rnacentral:rRNA from 1 species